rnacentral:lncRNA from 1 species
GUUUCAGCUAGGACCUACAAAGUGAAAAGGACACCCUCCUGUAAUAUUUAGCUGGCGGGUUCAGAAUUUAUACCUUGUCUCAUCUUUGCUGUUCUCUCUUUAACAUAGUCAGAAGCCAUCCCUGCCCGUAGACACACACACUUACUCAGCCUUGUUGUGUUGGGCCAUCAGGAGGAACCACUCUCAACUCUAGCUCGACGUGAGCUCUCUUCCAGGAAGUAAUGGAGCUGGGGAGCUGGUACUUGAAGGAUGAGACUUCACCAGGCAGAUAAAGGAGAAAAGCAAUCCAGGCAGAGGCAACGGUGGGAGCUAAAACAUGAAAGAGGAACUCCAGAGGAUCACGAAGUGUGUCCCACUAUAAAUGUAUAAAUGUGUGUGUGUGAUCUCACCAUCGCCAUCACUGUGACGCUGCUGAGGCAGGUUCAGAAAAAACUUGAAUGUCAUGCUGGAGGGUGUGGUCUUUAUUCUGCAGACGCUUCAAAGCUCAACAACCGCAGGUGCCAGACCAUCUCUGCAGAACCAGUUCAGCCAUCAUCACUCAUCAGCCACCUCCAGGCUCCAUAAGAAAAAGUGCAAAAAUUCCCUAGGAAGAGCAGGGCAGAGACAUGCCUCUAGAGAGUCUUCUGCCGUGGUGUGGCCUCCCCGUUUUCCCACUAUCUCCCAGGGCCCUGUGUACAAGGUGGGCUCUGCAGAGAGAUGCUAAACACCAACCUGAUUCUUCCUCAACACCAUGUCAUGUAUUUUUCCAAGAAUUGUUCUUCUCUGUCCUUGGAUGAAUUUCUGAGUUCACUGAUUUACCUAUCACUUUCAGAUAUUAAAAAAUCUAAUACAUAGUUGAAAUGCCAACACACAUUUAUUUUUUAUUUUUAUUUUUAAAAAAUAUUUUAAAAGUAAAUACAUGAAGACAGGAUCUUGCUACGUUGGCCGGGCUGGUCUCAAAUUCUCAGCCCUGAGCGAUCCUCUUGCUUUGGCCUCCCGAAUUGUUGGGAUUAUGGGCGUGUGCCACUGCGCCCAGCCUCAACCCACAUCCAAUUCACCAUAGUGUUUCCUCUCCUUAGAUGCAUCCUGCCUCCAGCUAGGAGGUCUACAGUGUGGCCAGGCCACAGUUAACUUCCUUCCUAUCCCUUCAUCUGUCUUCCACUAGUCCUUUCCCCGAACUUACUGUGCUCCUUUGGGAUUCAAGGGAAGAGGGGAGAAGGGCUGAGGGGCUGAAAAGGCUGUCUCUGACUGGGGCAGGGCUAAUCUGCCCACGCAAGUGUGGCGCAUGGCCACAUAUGGACUGUGUGUCUCCUGGCUCCCUCUUGUGGGGAUCUUGGACAGUCCCACUGGGCACAACCAACGAUCAUUCCUGGGUUGGCCCCUUCAUCUUCUAUCCACUCUGACUCCCUGUAGGUGGGGAUUACUGCUGCCACCUCCCCUCCUCCCCAGACGGUCUUCUCAGAUGGAGUCUCCUUCUUUCUUUCUUUGGCCCAGAUCAAGGUGACUCUGGCCCGUGGAAGUCAUCACCCCUGUGAUGCCCCUGGUGUGGUGCUUCCAGCUCCUCCUAGAGCCCACUCCUCCCCCUGCCUCCAGGGAAGCUCAGCCACAGCCUCUGGCUUUCAGCCUUUUUAUGAAAUGCAAGCGAGGCUGGGCAUGGUGGCUUACCUGUAAUCCCAGCACUUUUGAAGGCUGAGGUGGGAGGAUCGCUUGAGGCCAGGAGUUUGAGACCAGCCUGGGCAACCUGGCAAGACCCCCUCUCUAAAUUUUUUUUUUUUCAAUUAGCCAGGCACGGUGGUGCACACCUGUGGUCCUAGUUCCUCAGGAAACUGAGGCAGGAAGAUAGCUUGAGCCCAGAAGUUCAAGGCUGCAGUGAGCUAUGAUCAUGCCACUGUACUCCAGCCUGGGCGACAGAGUGAGACCCUGUCUCUAAAAAACAAAGCAAAACAAAAAACCACCAAUGAGACACCAGUCCAUGCAUACUCUCCACACUUCAAGUUUUCCAACAUUUUCUAAUAUUUUCUGGUUUCUCUCUGAUCUGAAGCAGGUGGGUUGCAGAAGGGCACCCCUUUUCUACCUCCCUCCUCCCAUUAGGGUGAACUGCAUGGCACCCCAGCAAUCCUCCACAAGGACACUGUCCCUGGCAGCCUCUCUAGCACAUCUUUAAUAUUCUCUUUUAUAUCUUGAGAGGAGUAAUUGGCUUAUUCUGCAACGUUAGCAAACGGGUUUGGGGAUAACUCUGCAAGUCUUGUGGAAAUGGCCAAAAGCCUGCCUGAAAACGUGGGGGUGCUUGACGCUUCUUGUUUUCAGUUUUGGGUCCUUGGUCCAAACUCUGUUGACACUUAAUCUGUGGAUUAGGAGUUUACACAUGUCCUUUUUACAAAUGUUGAAACUAAGACUCAGAAAGGUUAAAUAAGUUGCCCAAGUUCGCAUGACUAAGAAAUGGUAAAAUGGAAUUCUGCUUACUGCUGUCUCGUGAUUUCCCAGAAUCCAGUGAGUGUUUACAAAGCCCGGGAUGGGGUUAGGAGAGCAUGGCUUCAGUUUCUUACUCAGCAGUUUUACUGCUAGUCAAGCAACAGAAAACCAUACUCUAAAAAACAGCUUAACAACUGCAACCGAUCUGUCGUAUGGUUCUGAGGUUAGCUUAAAUUUUAUUUCUUAUAAAAACCGAGGCCAUGUGGACUGUAGGUGAAUCCUUUUUGGUUCCCAGAGUUUAGAACAAACAGUCAGGAGACUGACCCCACAAUCUCCAAAGUCCAUUUUUCCAUCUGAACCGAUAAGUAGGGUCCAUUUAGGUGGUGGAAAAUAAGAACAUUUUUAACGUCUCUCUAGAAUAAGAAACACGAGGAUAUUGUAUAAUAGCUUAGGACUUUUGUUUCCCUUUUACUUCUCACAUUGCUUUUGUGUAAUGUUGGCAUUCAAAGUUUGUUUAUUUUUUGGUUAACACUGUGCUUGUUUCCUAGGGCUGCUGUCGCAGAGCAACACAGAGUGGCUUAGAACGACAGAAAUGAAUGCUCCUGCAGUUCUGGAGGCUAAGUCUGAAAUCAAGGUGUCAGCAGGGCUGCGCUUCCUCUGAGCCUCUAAGGGAGGAUCCUUCCUUGUGUCUUCCAGCUUCUUUUGGCCUCAGGCAAUUUUUGGCUUGCAGUGGCAUAACUCCAAUCUCUGCUUCCUUCAUUACGUGGCCUUUUCCUUCUGUGUCUGGGUCCAAAUUUCCCUGCUCUUAGAAGAACACCAGUGAUAUUUGACUAAGGACCCACUCCACUCCAGUCUGACUUCAUCUUCAUUUAGCUAAUUACAUCUGCAAGGACACUAUUUCCAAGUAAGGUCACAUUCAGCAGUACUGGGAGUUAGAACUUCAGCAUACCUUUCUAGGGGGACACAAUUCUACCCGUCACAUCUCUCAGUUAUAUAUUUCCAUCCCCACGGAAACAGGAGCUACAAAGGGCAUUUUUGUGAAAAAGCUAAGGUUGUCUUUGAAGCCUGCCUCCUUUUCCCAAGGGCAGAGGAAAACUUCCGCCAGUCAACUCAGCAUCUUAGCAUUCUCAAAGCCCUCUGUUUGGGACACGAGGACUUUUAUACAUUCAUGCAUCCAAGGUACAUUGGUUUGACUGUGUCCCCACUCAAAUCUCAUCUUGAAUUGUAGCUCCCAUAAUUCCCAUGUGUUGUCGGGGGACCCAGUGGGAGAUAAUUGAAUCACGGGGGCGGUUUCUCCCAUACUGUUCUCGUGGUAGUGAGUAAGUCUCUCAGGAUCUUUUGGUUUUAUGAGGGGAAACCCUUUCACUUGGUCCUCUUUCUCUCUUGUUUGCCUCCCUGUAAGAUGAGCCUUUCCGUUUGCACCAUGAUUGGGAGACCUCCCCAGCUGCGUGAAACUGUGAGUCCAUUAAACCUCUUUUCCUUUGUAAAUUACUCAGUCUCGGUAUGUCUUUAUCAGCAGCGUGAAAGCAGACUAAUACAUACAUACAUUGCUAGCCCUAAAUUAUUUUAUGGUUAUCCCUCCUAGAAUCUUUCCCUUUUAAAUGCUGGUAAUUUGAGCUGAAGGAAAAAAAAUUCUGGUUAAAGCAGAGAUAGAGAAAGGGAGAAAGAAGCUGACCUUGAGGAAGCUUCCUUGGAUACGAAUAUGCCAUAAGAACAAAUCAGGAACAUGGAGCCAAUGACUUCAGCUUUCUGUACACUGCUUCUUACAGAACCAGCAACCACUCUGCAGCACCAGGAGUGUAAAACGCCUCCUGGCUGUCAUAUUCUACCUCUGUUGACUAUUUCUGAGUGCACACCAGCAAGUUGUGCAGAGCAAUUAAGGACUGCCCUUCUCAGCUGGGCACCUGUAAUCCCAGCACUUUGGGAGACGGAGGCAGGUGGAUCACUUGAGGUCAGGAGUUUGAGACCAGCCUGGCCAACAUGGUGAAGCCCUGUCUCUAUUAAAAAAAGAAUGCAAAAAUUAGUCAGGCGUGGUGGUGGACACCUGUAAUUCCAGCUACUCAAGAGGCUGAGGCAGGAGAAUUGCUUGAGCCUGGGAGGUGGAGGUUGAAGCGAGCCAAGAUUGUGCCACUGCACUCCAGCCUGGGCAAACAGAGCGAGACUCUAUCCCAAAAAAAGAACUGCCCUCCUCAGCCAGAGACCAGCUGAGAGGGACCUGAAUUUGGCAGUCGUGGUCAGCUGCAAUUCUAGCACGAACAGUUUUUGGCAUAGUGUAUUUUUCUAAGAGUAACAGAUUAGGUUUAUUAUCUAAAAUUAAAACUUUAAUAUAAAUAGAAUAU